rnacentral:rRNA from 1 species
CCUACGGGUGGCUGCAGUGGGGAAUAUUGGACAAUGGGCGAAAGCCUGAUCCAGCCAUGCCGCGUGUGUGAAGAAGGCCUUCGGGUUGUAAAGCACUUUCAGUGGGGAAGAAAGCCUUGGGGCUAAUACCCUCGAGGAAGGACAUCACCCACAGAAGAAGCACCGGCUAACUCCGUGCCAGCAGCCGCGGUAAUACGGUGGCUGCGAGCGUUAAUCGGAAUUACUGGGCGUAAAGCGCGCGUAGGCGGUCUGAUAAGCCGGUUGUGAAAGCCCCGGGCUCAACCUGGGAACGGCAUCCGGAACUGUCAGGCUAGAGUGCAGGAGAGGAAGGUAGAAUUCCCGGUGUAGCGGUGAAAUGCGUAGAGAUCGGGAGGAAUACCAGUGGCGAAGGCGGCCUUCUGGACUGACACUGACGCUGAGGUGCGAAAGCGUGGGUAGCAAACAGGAUUAGAUACCCGUGUAGUC